rnacentral:rRNA from 1 species
AGGUGGUGCAUGGCUGUCGUCAGCUCGUGUCGUGAGAUGUUGGGUUAAGUCCCGCAACGAGCGUAACCCUUGUCUUUAGUUGCCAUCAUUUAGUUGGGCACUUUAAAGAGACUGCCGGUGAUAAACCGGAGGAAGGUGAGGACGACGUCAAGUCAGCAUGCCCCUUACGCCCUGGGCUACACACGUACUACAAUGGCCGAGACAAAGAGUCGCAAGUUUGCAAAGACAAGCUAAUCUCAUAAACUCGGUCUCAGUUCGGAUUGUAGGCUGCAACUCGCCUACAUGAAGUUGGAAUCGCUAGUAAUCGCCGGUCAGCUAUACGGCGGUGAAUCCGUUCCCGGGCCUUGUACACACCGCCCGUCACACCAUGGAAGCUGUUCAUGCCCAAAGUCGUUACCUUAACCGCAAGGAGAGGGGCGCCUAAGGUAGGGAUAGUGACUGGGGUGAAGUCGUAACAAGGUAGCCCUACUGGAAGGUGGGGCUGGAUCACCUCCUUAAAGGGAGCUAUAAAACUCCAUAGGUUAACAAAGUGUCACUGCAUUGUAUAUUCUUAUAUGAUGACAAGUCCUUUCUUAGAGCUAGAAGAUUGUAGAGGGCUAUUAGCUCAGCUGGUUAGAGCACACCCCUGAUAAGGGUGAGGCCUCUGGUUCAAGUCCA